CCUACGGGUGGCAGCAGUGAGGAAUAUUGGUCAAUGGGCGCGAGCCUGAACCAGCCAUGCCGCGUGCAGGAAGACGGCUCUAUGAGUUGUAAACUGCUUUUGUACGAGGGUAAACGCAGAUACGCGUAUCUGUCUGAAAGUAUCGUACGAAUAAGGAUCGGCUAACUCCGUGCCAUAAGCCGCGGUAAUACGGAGGAUUCAAGCGUUAACCGGAUUUAUUGGGUUUAAAGGGUGCGUAGGCGGUCGGAUAAGUUAGAGGUGAAAUCCCGAGGCUCAACUUCGGAAUUGCUUCUGAUACUGUUCGGCUAGAGAGUAGUUGCGGUAGGCGGAAUGUAUGGUGUAGCGGUGAAAUGCUUAGAGAUCAUACAGAACACCGAUUGCGAAGGCAGCUUACCAAGCUACUUCUGACGUUGAGGCACGAAAGCGUGGGGAGCAAACAGGAUUAGAUACCCGUGUAGUC
rnacentral:rRNA from 1 species